UAGUGAGUUUGAUCCUGGCUCAGGACGAACGCUGGCGGCGUGCUUAACACAUGCAUGUCGAGCGGUAAGGCUCCUUCGGGAGUACACGAGCGGCGAACGGGUGAGUAACACGUGAGCAAUCUGCCCUUCACUUUGGGAUAACCUCCGGAAACGGUGGCUAAUACCGAAUAUGACCACUUCACGCAUGUGAUGGUGGUGGAAAGUUCUGGCGGUGGAGGAUGAGCUCGCGUCUGAUUAGCUAGUUGGAGAGGUAAAGGCUCACCAAGGCAUCGAUCAGUAGCUGGUCUAAGAGGACGAUCAGCCACACUGGGACUGAGACACGGCCCAGACUCCUACGGGAGGCAGCAGUGGGGG
rnacentral:rRNA from 1 species